UUUUAUCUGUGAGUAUCUUCAUUAGUUUUCUGUGUUGCCUCUUGCUGGGCUUAUUUAAUUUUCCAGUGAUUAUAUUUUUUCCAUUCUUUCACUUUUCUACAAAAUCCUUCCUUAGGUAGUGGUGGAUCGAGGACUCGGUGAGCACCGAUAGCCACGGGUGCUAGAUCCGCCGAAACAAUUUUUUUUGGUUGACAAUUGAUAUUGCCCUUGUUUGAG
rnacentral:lncRNA from 1 species